rnacentral:rRNA from 15 species
UCGGACGAGAUUACCCGCUGAACUUAAGCAUAUCAAUAAGCGGAGGAAAAGAAACUAACAAGGAUUCCCCUAGUAACUGCGAGUGAAGCGGGAAAAGCUCAAAUUUAAAAUCUGGCGGUCUUUGGCCGUCCGAGUUGUAGUCUGGAGAAGUGCUUUCCGCGCUGGACCGUGUAUAAGUCUCUUGGAACAGAGCGUCAUAGAGGGUGAGAAUCCCGUCUUUGACACGGACUACCAGUGCUUUGUGAUGCGCUCUCAAAGAGUCGAGUUGUUUGGGAAUGCAGCUCAAAAUGGGUGGUGAAUUCCAUCUAAAGCUAAAUAUUGGCGAGAGACCGAUAGCGAACAAGUACCGUGAGGGAAAGAUGAAAAGCACUUUGGAAAGAGAGUUAAACAGUACGUGAAAUUGCUGAAAGGGAAACGCUUGAAGUCAGUCGC